rnacentral:snRNA from 1 species
GUACUUUCCUGGCAAAAGAGAUAACGAUCAAGAAGUUGGUUUUCCUAGGGUGAGACUUCCAUUGCACUCCAAAGGUGCUGACCACUGCAGUUUCCCUAAAGGCAUGAAACUUAGCUGCAUAAUUUUUGGGAGAGGGAGACUGCGUUCCCACUUUCCUG